rnacentral:rRNA from 1 species
GAUGAACGCUAGCGACAGGCUUAACACAUGCAAGUCGAGGGGCAGCACGGGAGUAGCAAUACAACUGGUGGCGACCGGCGCACGGGUGAGUAACGUGUAUGCAACCUACCUAUCAGAGGGGAAUAACCCGGCGAAAGUCGGACUAAUACCGCAUAAAACAGGGGCACCGCAUGGUGAUAUUUGUUAAAGAAAUUCGCUGAUAGAUGGGCAUGCGUUCCAUUAGGUAGUUGGUGAGGUAACGGCUCACCAAGCCGACGAUGGAUAGGGGAACUGAGAGAUUGGUCCCCCACACUGGUACUGAGACACGGACCAGACUCCUACGGGAGGCAGCAGUGAGGAAUAUUGGUCAAUGGGCGAGAGCCUGAACCAGCCAAGUCGCGUGAAGGAAGAAGGAUCUAUGGUUCGUAAACUUCUUUUGCAGGGGAAUAAAGUGCAGGACGUGUCCUGUUUUGUAUGUACCCUGAGAAUAAGGAUCGGCUAACUCCGUGCCAGCCGCCGCAGUAA